UCCUAUGCGACAUUUUAUAUGGCUCCUAUGUCUGGUAUUCCCCGUAAGACGCGUGUGUCUAUUUCUUCAACUUUUAUAAAAUCUUAGGUACUUACUUGUGCACACCCCUAAGUUGAAUGUCAUAGAUGUCAGACAAAGCCAAGUUAAAAGAUAUAUUUAUAUGUAUAAUUAUGUUUUCUAAAGAUGAUUUAUAUUCUCAGUUUCUAAAAGUUACUUGGCUAAUUUAUCCGAGACAUACAACCAAAUUGCAUUAAAAAAAAAGUAAUAUAUCAAAAUAGAUAAUUGUAUAAUGUCAUAAAUUAGAUCUCAUAUAAGAACUACCCAUACUAUUACAAAAAAAAUUCACUUUAUUUAAAUUUUUUGAAGUUGAACUUGUGUUACGCUAUUGAUUUUGCAAAUAAUAUUUGAC
rnacentral:lncRNA from 1 species